UCCGGGUCCGGGGUCCGGGCGCGGCGCUGACGGCUGCCCGCAGGCUCCUGGGUGCAGCUGCGGAGCGGCCCGGGGGGGCGCCGACCCCGCGCCCUCCUCGUGCCACGCCGACGUGGAGCGGCUGCUGCUGGAGGCGCAGCUGGAGCCCGACGGCAGCGACGGGUGAGUGCCGGGCGGGCGGCGGGGCCGGGGCCGGGGGGCGCCCGGUGACCGGCGGGCUGUGUCCGCAGAGCCCCCACGGCGCCGAGCCCCCCGGCCCGCGGCGAGGAAGGAGCGGGGCGAGCGAGUGAGCGACCACCUCCCCGCGGCAGGGCCCCCCCGGGCCGCCCGCAGCCCCUGCCGGGGACGGAGCCGGCCGCCCGCGCCCAGCGGGACGCACCGGAGGACACCGAGCGGACGGGGCGACGCCUGCCCGCAGCCCUCGGCCGGGGCUGUGCCCGCUGCCCCGAGCAGCUGCCCGCGAGGGACUUUGCCUUCGUGUGCUCCCCGCAGCCGGUGCUGUGGAGCCUGCCGGGAGGGGCGGUGGGCAGGAAGAAGAGGCUGUUCAGUUCCGAGCUGCUGCUGCUCUUCAUCCCCUCGCUGCUGCUCAGCCACGUGCUGACGCUGGGACUGGGGUGAGUCUGCCAGGGCCAGAACCGACCCCCGGGUGCUGGCGGGGCGCAGCGCUGCUCUGCUGCUGGGGCCUCUGGCUGCCCUGGCAGGAGGCUGUCGCCCUGGGA
rnacentral:lncRNA from 1 species